UUCACGUUUUCUGACUGAAGUGUAAACUAAAGAUUACACAAUAAUUGCAGACCUACACAACUCAUUUACAAACCUACACAACUCAUUCACAAACCUUUUUGUGUCAAUUGGCUGUGGUCAAAAAAAGAGAGAGUCAACAAAUAGGCUAUUAAUAUUUAGUGUAUGAUUUAUUUCCUGUGAGCUUUUUUAUGCAAGUUUGUACAUUAGCAUGAAACUUACAGUGCAGUUUGCGUUUCUGGUGAAUUAUCAGGUGUUUUCUUUAUUUUGUACAUUCUAUAAUGUCAAUGUUUGUUUAAUUUAACCUGAAGGGGCAUUAAAAACAAAUAAUCGCAAAAGUGCCCUCUGGUGGCGUAUAUAUGCGUUGCACCAGAAGAUGAGCCUCGUGACGUGACAGUUUUUUUUCAAACUGAGGUGAGGAGUUCGGACUCCGGACCGGCAUUUCUGCUUGUUUGUACCCUGUCCCUGAGAUAACCAUGGUUAAUAAAUGGUCAGACACGUCACUGGCUUUAAAAAAUAAACCCCAUUGAUGCAAAAAGAUGCUGCAUGGAAUGACAAUGAGGUUUGGAACAGACUUGGUGAAGAACAUGGAAACAUCUCUAAAUAAAAUGGCCCCAAACAUCAUCAGGAGUGCAAAAGAAGGAAGUAAAAACAUCUCUACGCCAAUCUCAUUGGAGAGGAAACCACAGAAGGUCUGGUGAGGAAUGCUGCACUUAUGUUAUUGCAAGCAUUAUUUCAAGAAAAUCCCAGCUUCCUUUACUGUGUAAAUAGUGAAGCCAAAGGUCCCACACCAACCAUAGUGUUCAACGGCUCUCCUGAUCUUCUCAAAUCUGAAAGUAUCAACUGUAUAAUGGACAAUGUGAACUUAAUAUGUGGAAGACAUUGACAUCACAGGCUGUGGAAUGACUGUGUCACAGGUCGGAGAAGCGGACCGCCCCUGUCGCGGAUCACGCUCCUCCUAGUUCCACCUUGAGGAGGUCCCAAAGCACCCCAAUGACCAGACAAACCAGAGAUAAGUAAAAUAUAAAAAUAGAAACUUUAUUUAAAUUAUUUAAAACUAAAGUGGGGAAUGGGAAAGGGAAUCUAAAAAUCUCCCUUCUCGCCCUCAGAGGGAGUAUUACGGGGCCAGGGACGUUGGAGGGGUUUCCACGUGACUCCACCUCGAACACCGCUACAGAGCGUAUCUGGCUGGGUUGGGCACACACCGUCGCGGCGGCCCCUGAUGGCAUCCACAAAGGUCCAAGACCCUCCUAAGCUCCCAGCCGUAGCAGAACUACGUAUUUCAGCACCCGAACGACUAACAACCCAGCCGGCAUCUGCAGCGUAUAUCCAACGCAAUCAAACUUCACUCUAACAAGUAACUUCCUAUACACAACCACGCCGUCCUUUCGCCCGGACCAGCCCCGCACUCUUUCCGCCCGCUACCUAGCGGUCGCCGGAUCAGCAGAGCCUGCGGACUCUUCGGAGGCUGGUCUUCGUUGUGCUGCCCAAGGCGGAAGUUUACUUCCAGUAACUUCUACCUUCUCUCUUUAUAUCCUCCUCCAUGGCGUGGCUCGCCCAACCAUCGCUCGCCACGUCACUCACACAGCUGUGCCUUGUUUCAGCGAGUGCGGGGAUUCCCGGGGAACCCGGAAGUGCCGGUGUCUGUACAAACCGGUCCGGGCGGAACCUCUUCACUCUCCUUUUGGUUCCGCCCCGCAUAGUCACUUCGUGACAACUGUUUGCGUUUUUUUUUCUCCUCAAUGUUCAAUACCCUUUUGCCAUUAAGCACACAGUGACUUUAAUUUAUAAAAUAUAUGCUUAAGUUUUAAUACCUGUACAAAACAAAUGUACAAUCAACUUGUGUAAAUUGUCAUUCUAUUUAAUAGAUUGUUCAUGAAUUGUCUUUAAAUGCAUUGUGAUUUCGGUAACACUUUACAAUAAGGUUCAUUAGUUAACAUUAGUUAAUGUAUUAACUAACUUGAACAAACCAUGAGCAAUACAUUUGUUACAGUAUUUAUUCAUCUUUGUUAAUGUUAGUUAAUUCAAAUUUAAGCUUUAAUUGCUUGUUCAUGUUAGUUCAGAG